rnacentral:rRNA from 1 species
GGAAUAUUGGUCAAUGGAGGCAACUCUGAACCAGCCAUGCCGCGUGCAGGAAGACUGCCCUAUGGGUUGUAAACUGCUUUUAUCCGGGAAUAAACCUUUCUACGUGUAGAAAGCUGAAUGUACCGGAAGAAUAAGGAUCGGCUAACUCCGUGCCAGCAGCCGCGGUAAUACGGAGGAUCCAAGCGUUAUCCGGAUUUAUUGGGUUUAAAGGGUGCGUAGGCGGCCUGUUAAGUCAGGGGUGAAAGACGGUAGCUCAACUAUCGCUGUGCCCUUGAUACUGAUGGGCUUGAAUGGACUAGAGGUAGGCGGAAUGAGGCAAGUAGCGGUGAAAUGCAUAGAUAUGUCUCAGAACACCGAUUGCGAAGGCAGCUUACUAUGGUCUUAUUGACGCUGAGGCACGAAAGCGUGGGGAUCAAACAGGAUUAGAUACCCCAG